rnacentral:rRNA from 1 species
UACGGAGGAUGCGAGCGUUAUCCGGAUUUAUUGGGUUUAAAGGGUGCGUAGGCGGGCUUUUAAGUCAGCGGUAAAAAUUCGGGGCUCAACCCCGUCCGGCCGUUGAAACUGGGGGCCUUGAGUGGGCGAGAAGAAGGCGGAAUGCGUGGUGUAGCGGUGAAAUGCAUAGAUAUCACGCAGAACCCCGAUUGCGAAGGCAGCCUUCCGGCGCCCUACUGACGCUGAGGCACGAAAGUGCGGGGAUUGAACAGG